rnacentral:tRNA from 1 species
GAUUUGGUAGCUCAGCUGGAUAGAGCAACGGUUUUCUAAACCGUAGGUCACAGGUUCGAACCCUGUCCAGAUCA